AUUUACAAUCCAUGCAGUACUGUUAGUGUGGCUAUUUUUUUUCAUAUGCUCCAUCCACCCAUGACUUGAUAAACUACAGUUUAGAACAGUAUUUAUCAACUUUUUCAGCACAGGAACCGCAUAAUAAAUGAUGAAAAAGUAUAUCCCUUAGGGCCUGUACUAAGAUUUUUACUGCCCUAAGCAAUAUUCAGUUUUCAGCCUUCACAUAUCCCACAUUUCUCCAGUCUACUUUUUUGACUGACAUCUUUUUUUUUGUCUUUCUAGCUACUCUUUGCCAAACUCUUUAUUCUUCUGGCUACAAGUCUUGUUUUUUUGUAUUACAAUGUGAUUUGUAUUGUACUUUCAAUAUCCACUCAUUUCCACUCAUUUUCAGCUUUGCUAGCCUUUCACAUUGUAGGGACUACUUUGUCUUAUGUAUUUUCCUACGUUUGACCUUCUUUGACCAAAGGAGGAGCUUAAGUCCGCUCCAUUUUCUCUUGUCAAUGAAAUUUUCCCACAAUAUUCACCUCUCCUCCGUUAUCUCUAGUUGCUUCAUUUGCCGUUCGAACGUCCUGUCAUUUAGACAGGUCGCAGGUGAAUUCACUGAAUUCGUCCUAACAGAAUGUUAAAAGUUUGUCCAUUUGUAUUGGGAUGACAUUUGUACAUUUUGCUCGGUUUGGAAUUUAAUUUGAAUAAAUUAAAUUCCAAUCUGAGCCACGGCAUGUCUACUAAAACGAAUUUUGUCCUAACACAAAUCGACAAACUUUCAACAUUCUGUAAGGAAGAAAUUCGGUAAAUUCACCGGAGCCCUGUCUAACAGGAUGUUCGAACGGCGAAUGAAGCAUCUAGAGAUUACUGGAGGAGGGCUAGUAUUGUGGGAAAAUUUCUUUGACAACAGGAAAUGGAGCGGACUUAAGCUCCAGGCAACUGUAGACUGGUAUUUAGGAAGGCAAGAGGGGGCCAGAGGGCUAGAUGGUGGUUUUAAAAAUUUAGGGUCAGGAAUAAAUGUUUUAAUGGCACAUCUUCUCUUUACUUAUAGUGCAGAUUCCUAAUUCAACUGAGGGACCCAGUGUUUCUUAUUUCAUAAGACAUAUCUCCUCUAUGUACACUUAAAUGGAUUGCAGUGCUUCCUGGGUUUAUAUACCCACUGUGUUUAAAAUGUAUUAAAAUAGGAUUGUGGGUACAGAAGGAGGGGGAGGACUGGGGGACUUUGGAUAUGUUAUUGCUAAGUUCCACUGCAGAGUACUAUCAGAAGCAUUCACUUUGGUCAUGUGUUUUGAAUGAAUGUACUGCAGUAAUAUUAUAUAUCAUGGAGUUAUUUGGGGCAUUCAUCAAAGUAAUCAUUUAUGAAUUUACAAUGUGGUAUAAAACACAAAAACAAAAUUUUCAGAAG